UAUUGCACAAUGGGGGAAACCCCGAUGCAGCGACGCCGCGUGAGCGAAGAAGUAUCUCGGUAUGUAAAGCUCUAUCAGCAGGGAAGAAAAUGACGGUACCUGACUAAGAAGCCCCGGCUAACUACGUGCCAGCAGCCGCGGUAAUACGUAGGGGGCAAGCGUUAUCCGGAUUUACUGGGUGUAAAGGGAGCGCAGGCGGCGCGGUAAGUCUGAUGUGAAAGCCCGGGGCUCAACCCCGGGACUGCAUUGGAAACUGUCGUGCUGGAGUGUCGGAGGGGCAAGUGGAAUUCCUAGUGUAGCGGUGAAAUGCGUAGAUAUUAGGAGGAACACCAGUGGCGAAGGCGGCUUGCUGGACGACAACUGACGCUGAGGCCCGAAAGCGUGGGGAGCAAACAGGA
rnacentral:rRNA from 1 species